AUUGAACGCUGGCGGCAUGCCUUACACAUGCAAGUCGAACGGCAGCACGGGUGCUUGCACCUGGUGGCGAGUGGCGAACGGGUGAGUAAUACAUCGGAACGUACCUUAUCGUGGGGGAUAACGCAGCGAAAGCUGUGCUAAUACCGCAUACGCCCUGAGGGGGAAAGCGGGGGAUCGCAAGACCUCGCGCGAUUAGAGCGGCCGAUGCCUGAUUAGCUAGUUGGUGGGGUAAAAGCCCACCAAGGCGACGAUCAGUAGCUGGUCUGAGAGGACGAUCAGCCACACUGGGACUGAGACAAGGCCCAGACUCCUACGGGAGGCAGCAGUGGGGAAUUUUGGACAAUGGGGGCAACCCUGAUCCAGCAAUGCCGCGUGAGUGAAGAAGGCCUUCGGGUUGUAAAGCUCUUUUGUCAGGGAAGAAACACCGGCUCUAACACAGUCCGGGAAUGACGGUACCUGAAGAAUAAGCACCGGCUAACUACGUGCCAGCAGCCGCAGUAA
rnacentral:rRNA from 1 species